GUUGAGCUUGACUCUAGUCCGACGUUGUGAAAUGACUUAUGAGGUGUAGAAUAAGUGGGAGGUUAUGCCAACGAUGAAAUACCACUACUCGUAAUGUUGUUUUACUUAUUCCGUGAUGUAGAAGCCAGGCAUUCGUGUCUGAUUCUAGCGUCAAGCCGUCUUGAGCGGUGAUCUACGCGGGAGACAACGUCAGGUGGGGAGUUUGGCUGGGGGGGCACAUCUGCUAAAAGAUAAAGCAGGGGGCCUAA
rnacentral:rRNA from 1 species